rnacentral:tRNA from 1 species
UACUAUAAAUCUAAAGAAGAAUUUGUUUUGAAAACAAAAUAUAUAUGUUCAAU